UACGGAGGAUCCAAGCGUUAUCCGGAUUUAUUGGGUUUAAAGGGUGCGUAGGCGGCCUGUUAAGUCAGGGGUGAAAGACGGUAGCUCAACUAUCGCAGUGCCCUUGAUACUGAUGGGCUUGAAUGUACUAGAGGUAGGCGGAAUGUGACAAGUAGCGGUGAAAUGCAUAGAUAUGACAUAGAACACCAAUUGCGAAGGCAGCUCACUAAGCAGAUAUUGACGCUGAGGCACGAAAGCGUGGGGAUCAAACAGG
rnacentral:rRNA from 1 species